rnacentral:rRNA from 1 species
UACAGAGGGUGCAAGCGUUAAUCGGAAUUACUGGGCGUAAAGCGUGCGUAGACGGUUAUGUAAGUCAGAUGUGAAAGCCCAGGGCUCAACCUUGGAAUUGCAUUUGAGACUGCAUAGCUAGGGUGCGGAAGAGGGAAGCGGAAUUUCCGGUGUAGCGGUGAAAUGCGUAGAUAUCGGAAGGAACACCAGUGGCGAAGGCGAGUCCCUGGACAACUUCUGACGCUGAGGCAUGAAAGCGAGGGGAGCAAACAGG